rnacentral:rRNA from 1 species
GACAGAGGGGGCAAGCGUUGCUCGGAAUUACUGGGCGUAAAGGGCGCGUAGGCGGGAUGGCAAGUCGGUCGUGAAAUCCCUCGGCUCAACUGAGGGUCGUCGAUCGAUACUGCUGUUCUUGAGGAUUGCAGAGGAGACUGGAAUUCCCGGUGUAGCGGUGAAAUGUGUAGAGAUCGGGAGGAACACCGGUGGCGAAGGCGGGUCUCUGGGCAAUUCCUGACGCUGAGGCGCGAAAGCGUGGGGAGCAAACGGG